GAUGAACGCUGGCGGCGUGCCUAACACAUGCAAGUCGAGCGAAAAGACGAGGAGAGCGUGCCCUUGAGGGUAGCGAGGGACGGGCGAGUAAGACGUGGAUAAGCAACUACUAAGACGGGGAGGACAACGGGAAACAGGAGACAAUAAUGGAGAAUACAAUGAACGGGAGGGAGCAAUAGAGAAAGGCGGUUUUGGUGAAUGAAAUAGAGGGAGCCGGGCCGCAUUAGCUAGUUGGUAAGGGAACGGCUUACCAAGGCGACGAUGCGUAGCCGACCUGAGAGGGUGAUCGGCCACACUGGAACUGAGACACGGUCCAGACUCCUACGGGAGGCAGCAGUAGGGAAUCUUCCGCAAUGGGCGAAAGCCUGACGGAGCAACGCCGCGUGAGUGAUGAAGGUCUUCGGAUCGUAAAACUCUGUUAUUAGGGAAGAACAAAUGUGUAAGUAACUAUGCACGUCUUGACGGUACCUAAUCAGAAAGCCACGGCUAACUACGUG
rnacentral:rRNA from 1 species